AUACCUUUCUCGGCCUUUUGGCUAAGAUCAAGUGUAGUAUCUGUUCUUAUUAGUUUAAUAUCUGAUAUGUGGUCAUCGGCUCACACGAUAUUAACUCAAUUUUUUAAGGGGGAAGGUCCACCACGGUAGCUUGCUAUCGCGGCCUUCAUGUGUCGCCUAGGCGUUGUACUAUUGCCUUGGCCUAGCGCACCCCAC